AGCAACAUGGCUGAAGUUGGAGGACAAUGUGUUAAGUGAAAUAAGCUAGGCACAGUAAUACAAAUAUAGCAUGAUAUCACUUAUAAGUGAAAUCUAAAAAAGUUGAACUCAGAAAAAUAAUAAAAUCGGUAUCAGUAGCUAGAGGUGAGGGGACUGGGAGACCUUGGUCAAAGGACAAAAAGUUUCAGUUAGGAGAAAGAAGUUUAAUGAAUCUAUUGUAUAUCAUAGUAUCUAUAGUUAAUAACAAUAUGUUGUAUACUUGAAAAUUUCUAAGAGAGUAGGUUAAAUACCACAAAAAAUAAGUCUGAGAGAUCAUGCAUAUGUCAAAUAGCUUGAUUAAGCCAUUCUAUAUUGUAUACAUAUAUCAAAGUAUGUUAUAUUCCAUAAAUAUAUACAAUCUUUACUUAUCAAUCUAAGGCAUAUAAGUAAACAAAUGUUCAAUUUAAAAAAUAAUUAGUAUGAGCUAUGUCUAUUAGCCAGACCCUUUUCUUUCUUUGAGAAGUUCUUUUUAAAUACAUGAAGAGGUUUUUUGUUUGUUUGUUUGUUUGUUUUGGGAAUAGAUCCUGACUAGCAAUCUUCUAGGACUGUGGUGGUUAAAUUUAUCUAAGAGAAAUUGCAUUUAGAUACUAGGUAGCAUUUUAAUAUGCCUGGAUAGGUUUUGAAGGCAUUAUUCUGUCUUGUUAAAUUUUGGGGAAAGCAGUAGAUACUGCCUUCCUUGACAAUUAUUUAUACAUUUGAAGACAAAUAGAUGGAUAGGAUUUUCUUUCAAUGCUAAUUUUUGUUUUCUAAUUCAGUGAGCUUUUUCCAGAGAAUACAUAUUUUUUCUUAAGCCGAGGGUUAUUUUCCAGUUUGUGUAGGUAAUCCUUUUUAGUUGAUCUUAAUUAUCGUAGAUGCUUCAAGAGCUAAACAUUUCUUUUCUAUAUCUGGUCUAGGAAGAGUUUUCAAUGAACAGUCAUUUUAGGAUCCCAAGUAUCCUAAAUUUCUAAAGCUGUAUUAGUUUUCUGGGCUGCAGCCAGGGCAGCCUCCACGGUGGUGCAAGCGGAGCCAAAAGACGGAGGUUUCGGUGAGCAGGGGGCCGACGUGAGCUUGAGCAGCCCCCUUUGGCCUCCCCCGUCGAUUCCAUGAGUACCCUCAUGCAGCUUAGCAAGAGGGCCCAGGAUUUUUGGAUCCCCAGCCCUGUGACAAGGCUUCCAGUCCAGCUCCUGCCUCCCAGGAUUUCGACUCAGUUCAGCGAAGUCACCACCCCAUCUGAGAAAUGAGGACACCAAGGCUUAGAGCAAAGCGUGGAGGCACCGUCUGCCAGGCCCCAUCCCUUCCUCCGGCUCCUCUAGGCCUGGGCAGAAUGGCUUUAUUCAUGGUCUGGCCUCCUGGUGCUGACGACGCCACUGGCCUCCCUGGACCCUCGUGUGGCCCCCAUCCUGACCUUGGCGGCCCGGCUGCUGAAUGACACACUAUGUACCCCUGCAGCCGGGCAUGAGCCUGGAGGGCCCGGCUCAGCCCCAGUCCAGCCCCAUGCAGGCCACGUUUGAGGUUCUUGAGUUCAUCACACACCUCUAUGCUGGCGCGUCCACAGGCACCUGGAUGUCAAAAUCCUACUGACCAAUAUCUGAACCAACAGCACCUUUCUCCCUCCCCUGCCCACAUCAGUCCAGAAUCUCGCCCACCCACCAGAAGUCGAGUUGACAGACUUCCAGACCCUGGCUGGAAGCCAGUACAACCCGGUCAAACGGCAGCUAGUGCGUUAUGCCACCAGCUGUUACAGCUGUUGUCCGCGACUGGCCUCAGUGCUGCUAUACCCCGAUUAUGGGACAGGAGAAGUGCGCAUGGGGCCCCUGCAUGUCCCCUUACCCUUCACGAUCAGGCCAGCUUCCCCCAUGUCCAGGUCUCCAAAGCAGCCAGUGUGUGGCUACUACUGUGGCGCUGUGGGUGACACGUUUGGCCACCUGCACAAUGCCCACAAGGUGUUGCUCAGUGUUGCGUGUGUCCUGGCCCAGGAGCAGCUUGUGGUGGGAAUAGCAGACCAAGAUCUGUUGAAGAGCAAGUUGCUCCCUGAGCUGCUCCAACCUUAUACAGAAUGCGUGGAACAUCUGAGUGAGUUCCUGGUGGAUGUCAAGCCCUCCUUGACUUUUGAUGUUGUCCCCCUGCUGGACCCCUAUGGGCCCGCUGGCUUUGACCCCUCCCUGGAGUUCCUGGUGGUCAGCAAGGAGACCUAUCAUCGGGGGAUGGCCAUCAACCGCGUCUGCCUAGAGAAUGAUCUGGAGGAGCUUGCCUUGUACCAGGUCCAGGUGUUGAAGGACCUAAGACAUAUGGAGAAUGAAGAGGACAAAGUCAGCUCCUCCAGCUUCCAUCAGCAAAUGCUGGGAAACCUGCUUCGGCCUUAAUAUGAGAGGCCAGAGCUCCCUCUGAGUCUCUAUGUGAUUGGGCUGACUGGCAUAAGUGGCUCUGGGAAGAGCUUAAUAACUCAGUGGCUGAAAGGCCUGGGGGCGUUUAUCAUUGACAGUGACCACCUGGGUCAUUGGGCCUAUGCCUAGGUGGCCCUGCCUACCAGCCUGUGGUGGAGGCCUUUGGAAGAGAUACUCUCCAUAAAAAUGGCAUCAUCAACAGGAAGAUCCUAGGCAGCCGGGUGUUUGGGAACAAGAAGCAGCUGAAGAUCCUCACAGACAUUAUGUGGCCAAUUAUCACAAAGCUGGCCAGAGAGGAGAUGGAUCGGGCUAUGACUGAGGGUAAGCGUGUGUGCUUGAUUGAUGCUGCUAUGCUGCUUGAAGCCAGCUGGCAGAACCUGGCCCAUAAAGUGUGGACUGUUGUCAUCCCUGAGACUGAGGCUGUAAAACGCAUUGUGGAGAGGGAUGGCCUGAGUGAGGCUGAGGCUCAAAGCCGGCUGCAGAACCAGAAGAGCGGGCAGCAGCUUGUGGAACAGAGCCAUGUGGUGCUCAGCACCUUGUGGAAGCCGCAUAUCACCCAGCGCCAGGUGGAGAAAGCCUGGGCCCUCCUGCAGAAGCACCUGGUGGACACAGGAGGCCUACCCAGCAAGCUGGUAUUUGGCCAACACUGAGGAUGUGAUUCGUGGGGGAGCAGGCCUCUCCCCAUUCUUGCCUAUGAGUGUCUGUAAUACCCACAGCUGACUAGGGUUGGGGCAAGUACUGGAACCUGUAACAGAAAUAAAGUGUAUGUUCCCAGGU